GGGGUGGGGAGGGAGUGAAGAAGUCUAGAGCAACCACAGGAGGGCUAAGAAAUGCUUUAAGGAAGAACAACCAGAUUUGGAGCAACGGGACCCAAGACAGAGUCUUGUACAAAGAGCCUAGGUUUCUACUACAAUUUUGCCUGAGACAACUUAGUGGGUUGCGGCAAGAUGCCAGAGUUCUCUGGAAAUCCAUCAUCUCCCAGGAGGAUUCUACAGGUUCAUGAUCUCAGUUUUUCCCACUUUAAAAUGGAGCCCAGAAUUCUCAACUGCUUCAGAGAUGGUUGAAAAAGUAGCCACCACCAAAGAAAGCCAGGAUUUGGGCAGAUCUUAUUAUUCCAAAUCAAGGCAGUAGUUCAUCAUGAUGAUGCCAGUAGGACAGGAAUCAGA
rnacentral:lncRNA from 1 species